CUUGAACGCUGGCGGCAGGCCUAACACAUGCAAGUCGAGCGAGCGGCGGACGGGUGAGUAAUGUAUGGGGACUGCCCGAUAGAGGGGGAUAACUACUGGAAACGGUAGCUAAUACCGCAUACUAUCGGAUAACCCAUAUGGGAUUAGCUAUUAGGUGAGGUAAUGGCUCACCUAGGCGACGAUCCCUAGCUGGUCUGAGAGGCUGAUCAGCCACGCUGGGGCUGAGACACGGCCCAGGCGCCUCGGGAGGCAGCAGUGGGGAAUAUUGCACAAUAGGGGCGAUCCUGAGGCAGCCAUGGCGUGUGUAUGGAGAAGGCCCUAGGGUUGUAAAGUACUUGCAGUCGGGAGGCGUUACCGACAGAAGAGGCGCCGGCUAACUCCGGGCCAGCCGCCGCGGUAAGUC
rnacentral:rRNA from 1 species